rfam:Schistosoma haematobium scaffold272_33, whole genome shotgun sequence.
AUCCAGCUGAUGAACCCUAAAUAGGACGAAACCCGUGUCCUGAAU